CCUACGGGAGGCAGCAGUGAGGAAUAUUGGUCAAUGGACGAGAGUCUGAACCAGCCAAGUAGCGUGCAGGAUGACUGCCCUAUGGGUUGUAAACUUCUUUUAUAUAGGAAUCCAAUGUUCCACGUGUGGCUUUUUGUAUGUACUAUAUGAAUAAGGAUCGGCUAACUCCGUGCCAGCAGCCGCGGUAAUACGGAGGAUCCGAGCGUUAUCCGGAUUUAUUGGGUUUAAAGGGAGCGUAGUUGGGUUGUUAAGUCAGUUGUGAAAGUUUGCGGCUCAACCGUAAAAUUGCAGUUGAAACUGGCAGUCUGGAGUACAGUAGAGGUGGGCGGAAUUCGUGGUGUAGCGGUGAAAUGCUUAGAUAUCACGAAGAACUCCGAUUGCGAAGGCAGUUCACUGGACUGCAACUGACAUUGAGGCUCGAAAGUGUGGGGAUCAAACAGGAUUAGAUACCCUGGUAGUC
rnacentral:rRNA from 1 species